GAGGAAGGUGGGGAUGACGUCAAGUCAUCAUGGCCCUUACGACCAGGGCUACACACGUGCUACAAUGGCGCAUACAAAGAGAAGCGACCUCGCGAGAGCAAGCGGACCUCAUAAAGUGCGUCGUAGUCCGGAUUGGAGUCUGCAACUCGACUCCAUGAAGUCGGAAUCGCUAGUAAUCGUGGAUCAGAAUGCCACGGUGAAUACGUUCCCGGGCCUUGUACACACCGCCCGUCACACCAUGGGAGUGGGUUGCAAAAGAAGUAGGUAGCUUAACCUUCGGGAGGGCGCUUACCACUUUGUGAUUCAUGACUGGGGUGAAGUCGUAACAAGGUAACCGUAGGGGAACCUGCGGUUGGAUCAC
rnacentral:rRNA from 1 species